UUCCGCUCGUCGAUCAUUUUUGUGGAUUAGCAAUUUUGUUCUCGAAUAAUUGCAUAGUCACAAAAGUGAUGGACGUGAAGCGUCGUUUGU
rnacentral:pre_miRNA from 1 species